GUUAUUUCUGCACGAGGCUAAAGACGUAAAGGCGUGAGAAGUGUGAUCAUAAGAAGGUGUGAAAAGCGUGGAUACCAGGAGGCGUGAUAAGCGUGACUCGGUAGAAGAGUUCAAUUUGUACAAGGUACCUCCAAAGACGUUUAUAUAUGGUAUAUUCUAGGAAUGUAGUAGAUGAAGAAGGGUAUUCAUGGUAUGUAAAAUGACCUCUGAGUCACUAUAAAAGGGGAGCCCUACCCUGUUGUAAAGGGACAGAUAAUUUUUGGAACGAGAUCGCAAGUGCUUUUACUACAAUUGUUGUGUUCAA
rnacentral:lncRNA from 1 species